rnacentral:rRNA from 1 species
UACGUAGGUGGCAAGCGUUGUCCGGAUUUAUUGGGCGUAAAGCGAGCGCAGGCGGUUCUUUAAGUCUGAUGUGAAAGCCCCCGGCUCAACCGGGGAGGGUCAUUGGAAACUGGAGAACUUGAGUGCAGAAGAGGAGAGUGGAAUUCCACGUGUAGCGGUGAAAUGCGUAGAUAUGUGGAGGAACACCAGUGGCGAAGGCGACUCUCUGGUCUGUAACUGACGCUGAGGCUCGAAAGCGUGGGGAGCGAACAGG